GGUAGUGACAAUAAAUAACAAUAUAGGGCCCUUUCGGGUCUUAUAAUUGGAAUGAGUACAAUUUAAAUCCCUUAACGAGGAACAAUUGGAGGGCAAGUCUGGUGCCAGCAGCCGCGGUAAUUCCAGCUCCAAUAGCGUAUAUUAAAGUUGUUGCAGUUAAAAAGCUCGUAGUUGAACUUCAGACCUGGCCGGAUGGUCUGCCUAACGGUAUGUACUGUCUCGGCCGGGCCUUACCUCUUGGUGAGCCAUCAUGCUCUUCACUGGGUGUGGUGGGGAACCAGGACUUUUACCUUGAGAAAAUUAGAGUGUUCAAAGCAGGCCUACGCCCGAAUACAUUAGCAUGGAAUAAUAAAAUAGGACGUGCGGUUCUAUUUUGUUGGUUUCUAGAGUCGCCGUAAUGAUUAAUAGGGAUAGUUGGGGGCAUUAGUAUUCAGUUGCUAGAGGUGAAAUUCUUGGAUUUACUGAAGACUAACUACUGCGAAAGCAUUUGCCAAGGAUGUUUUCAUUAAUCAAGAACGAAGGUUAGGGGAUCGAAAACGAUCAGAUACCGUUGUAGUCUUAACAGUAAACUAUGCCGACUAGGGAUCGGGCGAACUCAAUUUUAUGUGGCGCUCGGCACCUUACGAGAAAU
rnacentral:rRNA from 1 species